AUAACAAUAAGUUGUUGUCAAUUCAGUGAAAUAUAAAAGAAAGACGACAUGCACACAUGCUAGAAAGGGAGCCAUGAUGUCAACCCGGAAAAAAAGAAUAAACCCUGUUGAGGAAGAAACAUCAUUCAUUCUGCUCUCAAAGGACAAGCCAGGAAUUGAGGGAAAUACAUUGAUAGCGAAAAAGGAAGGGGAGUUUUUGCUACCCAGCCCAUCGAACCAGGUGCCUUUGUCAUGGAGUAUAGAGGAGAACUUAUAUCGGUGGAGGAAUGUCAGUCGAGGCAAUACUCAGAGACGGAGAGUAAAUUUCUUUUUUAGUUUGAAUGGCAGAAACAUCGCUAUUGUAUUGACGUAUCCAAAGAAGAUGGAUCGCUGGGAAGAUUAGUCAAUGACAACAACAAAUCUCCAAAUUGCAGCUAUGGAGAUUCGAAGUGGCCGUGGCGUAAUAAGGUGCCAAUCAGUCAGGCUCCUGCAGUGGAAGUAGAGUCCAAGAAGCUCCCUGCUGCAGAAGACACUUCAUCUAACGAGUCAAAUCUUGUGGAUAAUGUUGGGACACAGGUGCCAACCAGUCAGUCUCCUGCAGUGGAAGUAGAGUCCAAGAAGCUCCCUGCUGCAGAAGACACUUCAUCUAACGAGUCAGAUCUUGUGGAUAAUGUUGGGACACAGGUAAUGGCGAAGUGACGACACUGCUUCCUGAAACUGUGUUACAUUCCUUGGGUUAUUAUCAAAUCAUCAUGUUUGUUCACUAACUGCCCCAUACAGUCCUAAACUCAGAUUGUUGUUAAUUAACAAUUCAGGAGGAUGUGGACAUCUCAUUUUACAAAAGUAUUUCAGUCAGAAAUACUAACUGGGGGAUAGUACAGGGGCAGUGUAACAUCACACACUCGUACAUUUCUUGUUUUGUCCUUGUGGGGCCCCUGAAACUGAAAUCUGUCUUCCAAGUUCCCUGUCAGGAGGCCAGUGUUACACACUCUUUUCUAGUCUUGCCUUAUGGGGCCCUCCCGUUUGUAUCUACAUGAAAUUGAUUUUACUUUAUUAAGAAAACACCUGUCAAUAUCUAAACUCAAGUUUCUAGAGAUGCAAUUUGAAGCUUCAUGAGCAGGUGCAAGUUUAACAAGGGUAUUUUGAAAAUAAUCUACUGCCAUAAGCUGAAAUAUCUUUUUUCAAAGUUCUCUUUCAGGAGGCCAGUGUUACACACUCUUUUCUACUCUUGCCUUAUGGGGCCCUCCCGUUUGUAUCUACAUGGAAUUGAUUUUACUUCAUGAAGAAAACACCUGUCAAGCUUCCUGAGCAGGUGCAAAUGUAACAAGGGUAGUCGUCAAGUCAAAGUCAUCAUGUUUGCUCACAAAUUUAUUGUUUUCUGUAUGUUCAGGUGUUUACUUCCCAAGCAACUUCCCAAGUGGAUUAUUCUGACAGUGAUAAUUCUAUGCAAGUUGCUCAAGAAAAGGUAAGGAAGGUAAACAUGCAUGUACGCCAUAGAUACUGUGAAUGCCAUUACAUGAUCGCCUUUUUUGUCUAUUGUACAGUUUUUGUGUGUGGAGGAGAAUGCAGAUUAACAGCUGGUUCUUCUGGUUCUCCACAUAGUUUUUGUCCAGCUCUGCUAGUCGCCGCAGCUUGUUAUGUUUAUCUGUCAGUAGUUGCUUAGCUUCAUCUCUGAGGCUCUACGACUUUUGUUCUGUUAUGUUUGAAGGGAGUGGACUACUAAUAAAUAAAUGUUAUUCUUUGAUAAUAAAGUUGAAACAAUGGAAAUUACUAAUGUCUUCUGUUAGUUUCUUUGAGCCUCGUGAAGAUAUAAAGACUAGAAAUAUGUGUGUACAAGUGGACCUCACAACGUCUUUGUGCUAGUAAUAUGUGUGUAUACAAUUGGACCUCACAAGGUCUUUGUGCUAGAAACCGGACCCCAUAAUUGGGCAAAAAACUUUUUGGACAAAACUUUGGAAAUCUUUAAAUUUGAAGUGCUGGUAAUUAAAAAGAUUUUUUUUUUAGCUUCCCUGAUU